rnacentral:tRNA from 1 species
GUUUAACCCCCUCCCCUAGUA